GUGAGCCUAGUGAUAGGAGACUAUCUAGCUUGGUUCGGAGAGCACUUGUUGGGUUAAAUAUUUAUUUGUUACUAAAU
rfam:Nicotiana attenuata strain TT chromosome 7, whole genome shotgun sequence.